CAAGGAAUCGAUCACACAAGUGCUAGAUCACCACACACAUAAGAGAUACACGAGAUCCAAAGUCAACAAAGGUAAGGAUACAAAGGAACUGUUCUUCUCCAAGAGGAGGCCUUGAUGUUCUUCCCUAGAAGGGGUCUUGAAUCCGCUUGGGGGAUCUUCUCCGAAGAGGUCAUGAUCUCCGAGGAGAAGUAUCCAAGUGGAUGAGCAAAGGCUCUCACACAAAAAUGAGCUAAUCCAAUGCUAACCCUAACUAGGAGGAGGGGGUGUCCUAUUUAUAGUCUUAGUGCAAAAGGGGGCGAAGUGGAGGGGUACAUGGGCUUCGGCCCGAAACUGUGCGCAGACAGGUACCGGACGUCCGCUGGGGGCCGGUCGUCCGGUGGCUCAUGAGGGACCGGUCGUCCGGUGUCGCCGGACGUCCGUUGGAAGCUCUCUGGAAUGGGGCGCCGGAUGUCCGGAAGUUUCAUACUUCCGUUAAUAUUCUCUCUGUUGACAGGUGUCGGACGUCCGGUGUCUUCGGUCGUCUGCUCGCUGGGAUGUCGCCGGACGUCCGGUCUGGACCGGUCGUCCGCUCGCUGUAGCAUGCGUCUGCUGGGUCUUGGCCAGGCUGGUCAUCAGGUGCCGAACGUCCGGUCGCCAGCGGUCGUCCGGUGGCUGUAACUUCUUCGGUGUCUCUUCUUCUUUGUUCUUAUACUUGGUGUCCUCGCUAGCUCGUCCAUGGUCUUCCUCCUUGUUCCUGGUCAUGCAUAGCACACAUAUUUGAGGUAGUAACCAUGUCUCACAUGUAGAAAGUGAAGGUUCGGAAAGGAGCGAGUUCACCUUGUGUCCAAUGGCGUCUAGUUGAGGUCUCGUCAUAAGUCCUCUUGGGGUUUGGAGAGUAGUCGGAGUGUACAUGGGGAUGAACAUGGGAUGCUCCGCAUCAUCUCCCCCCUUGGGAAAGAUCCGACCUCGGAUCGUGAUCCUCAUCACCAUGGAAACGGUUGUUGUAGACGGACUUGUAGUUGGACGAAGUUGAAGACAUGGCGCAAUCCAAGUAGUCCAAGGUGUCGCCGGAGUGAUAGACAUGCAAAAAGAGCAAACACAAGCAACGCUCGGAAAUACAAUGGUUAGCGCGCACAAAGUGUCCAUCAUGUAAGAAUGAGUCCGUGCGGCAUGAUUGGUCGUGACAAAGCGCGUGAAGCUUAACAAGAUGAUCUAGAAUGAGAUGCAAAGCAUGCAUGGGAGGAAAUGCAAUCAUUGUGCACACAAAGGUGUUGUAAAUAUGAUCAAUGCAACCACGGUGCAAAAUGAUGUCAUAGUGAGACGGUUUGUCAAUAGCAUGAAUAUGGCAAUGGAUGCUCAACAUGUGUAUGUUAUCAUGCAAUUGAUGGUGGACAACAAGAUCAUGAUGUAUGAAUAUGCCAUCAAGGUAGAUCACAACAAAUUUGCUAAGGAAGUGAACAAGCUCAUAUAUCAUGGAUGACAUGGAAAUAGAUGCAACAAGACAAGCAUAAUGUGAGUCAAUCCAUGCAUAGGGUGCAAACUUGUGGUGAGGAUGAUAAGUCCAUCGAGCAUGACAUGUAUGAGCACAAUCAACAAAUAUGGAGGUGUUGGUGUACCAAAGCUCGAUGUCGAGGCAUGAGUGGAGUUUCGAAGGUGCAUCCAAUAAGUGCGAGCGCUCCUCAAUGUGAAGGUCCAUGUAGCCAAUUUCCAAUGUCGCUCCUCCGUUCAUGAGAUGUAUCAUGUAGACAACAAGAAGGAAACAACAAUGAAAGAGUGACCCAUCCAAUAUGCGUACUUGAGGAUGGCUCGAAGGGAAGGAGGUCACCUUUAGGAGUUUCUCAAGGAUGAUGGAGUCGCGCAUCUUGUAUGCCUUCACAUAACCAAUAUGUCUCGUGGUGGUACCGCCUUGUAAAUCCUUCAAAAUGAAAACAUGACAAACACUUGGAAAAACGAAUGAGGUUAGCGAACUGGCAAAACAAAUCAUUCAUGUGGUAAGAUACCCAACAAAUGUAUGUAUCAUGCUCAUCAUAAGAAAUGACAAGGGAGUAUUGCAUAGUAUGGAGGCAUAUGAUACGAGAACAACCAAAUGCAAUAGGCUCAAUCAAACAAGCAUGCAUCACAAGUAAGGUGUCAAAGUCUCCAAGGUCAAUAAGCAUAGGAUGGUUGCACUCAAUACAAGUGGAUAUGAAAGAGUCAACUAAUGGACACAAGAGACAAUGAUCAAGAUAUAUCAUGUGAGAGGCAUGAGCAUAUAUGUCAUCAACCCAAGAAAGCAAAUAAUAGUGGAACAUGGGUGAUGCAACAUAGCAAGCAAUCAUAGCGAUCAAGUCAAGCAAGCUAGUAGUGCGAAGAUGCAACAUACUAGAGGGAAUCAUAGCAAGCAUGUCAUGUGUGCAAAUAGUGGGCCUGAAUAAUGGACAUGACAUGUCACAAGCAUGAAAGCAAGAUAUGAGAAAAAUAUCAUCAAUGUAUUGGCGAGAGGCCAUAUGUGAAUAGCAAUGGGUCAUCAUGACUCUCCUAACACAACAAGCAUCGAUAGCAUGGGGCACAUGAUAAACAUGGCAAAAGCAACAAGGAUCUCCACCAAGCAUGCAAAUACACAUAGAAGUAGCAUAAUGGUGAAUCAUGGGUAGAUGCAAGCAAGGGUCACAAUUGCAUGGCAAAGGCAUAGGAGCAAGCAUAGCAUGCAAUGUGAACACGGUAAAAUGAGCAUAAGGUGACAAGUGGUAAAUGGCCCAUAGCCGUGUGAGAGCCAAGUAGAAGAGAUGCGUGUAGUCCUUGCACGAAGGGAACGGUGGUAAAGAUAGUCCACGGGAUCCCAAAGCAUCGUUGCUCUCAAGAGCUCGUUUUGUCAACUCUUGGGAUUGAGAGGUUGACGAGUAUAGUGAGUACCUACACAAAACAAAGACAAAGGGAAAAUUGUGUAUGCGUGGUAGAUGUACACAUCAUCCAUCAUGAUGCGCACGUGCAUGUGUUUGUUAGCACAAAAUAGCCAGUGCUCAAAUAAAUGAGAUGCGUGAUAUAGAAACAUGUCAUCCAUCAUGAUAGGUUUAUCAUUAUGUAUGGCAUAAUGGAGACUCAAAGGAUGUAAUGCAUCACGAGCAAUAUCUAGAGCAUUGUUAUUCAUGGAAUGCAUAAGGUGCACGCAAUCGUGGGAAUCAUGCAAAGUAUGGAAUGCAUCAAGAUCUCCUAAUAUGUAUGAGGAAACUAUGGGGGUCUCCUCAUUAGCAUGAGUAGCAACAUCACAUGGAGAAUAUUGACAACAUCAAAAACAAUGCAUAUUCGAAACAAUGUGAUCAUGGCAUGCCAUAGUAGAUGAAUUGCACAAAUCAUGUAAAGGAAGCAUGGCAAUAUCAUCACAUGAAAAACAAAAGCCAAUGACCAUCAUCUCGUCAUCUAUGCCAUAAGUGCAAAUGGGAUUGAUUUUAAUGGGGCAUGCAUAGUUACUAUGUUGAGAUUGAAAUGAUGCAAUAUGGGAGAUCUCACUCAUAGAAUAUGACAAGUUCAAAGGAUUGUCAAACAUGAAGUGACCAAUAGAAUUUUCACAUGAUAUCCUAUGAAGCAUAGCAUCACAACUAGGUAACUCAACAUGCUCAUCAUCAUAUUCAUCAUAAAUAGGCAAGUCAAGGCAUGAAGAAGUCUCACUAGCAUGAAGCAUGGGAAUAGGUGGGUCAACAUCAUGGGAGCAAUCGAUGUCAAGAGAGUCCACUAGUGGGACAAGAGAAGUACCAUCACCUAUGUUACCGUUGGAGUGUCGCUCAUGUGUUGUAGGUGAGGUGUUGAAGAUCGUCUCGUGUUCAUCUUCAUCGUGAUGGAACCAUGUGGGGGGUGCAUCAUAUUCCACCAUGGCCAUCAUCAUGUCCAAAGGGAGGACGAAGUCGUCGAGGAUCGGCGCGUCAUCAUGUAUAGGCAUGUCGUCAUGUAGGAGACCUAGCACCAAAGAAGAAAACACACUAGGAGUAGAGGUUAAGUCGUUAGAAAUCAUGGUGGCCUCACAUGCCGUGUCAACUACCUCACUCACUAAGUGUUGUGGCUCACUCACUCCCUCAAGGAUUCACUCACUCAUAUGGUUGGUGGAGUCACUCAAAUGGCGCUCAACCUCACAUAGGUUGUGUGGCAUUCUCUCAUGUGUGGGGCUAGUGGUGGUCACACUCAUCCUCUCAUAGGAAAUGCUCUCAAUGUCACAUAUGGUGGAGUCACUCAUGUCACUCAUGUGGUGGUGGCUCUCCUCACAUGGCACUUGGGGCAUCUCGACAUAUGUGGGUGUCGGAGAGAUGUAGGUGCAAAUGUCUCCAUGCUCAACUCCUAUCGCCGUGGUCGAAGGGGAUGGCCCUUGCUUGACCUUCUUGUCGUCGUCUUGUUGUUGGAGGCCCAUAUGAUGUGGCACCUCGUAGCUCAUCUCCAUGACCGAAGGGAGUUUCGCAUGCUCGGCCAUCUUUCUUGAGGGGCUUCCGAAGAUGGAAGAGUCGCCCUCGCUCGUAGGUAGUCGCCCUCGCUCGUAGGUAGUCGCCUUGGACUUGAUGAAGUCGUUGUAGGCGUACUCGCCGGAAGUAGGCGAAGAUGUCGUACGUCCAAAGGCGAAGAUGCCUUGAGAACACUUGGCGAAGAUGCCGAAGUGGUUGAUGUAGCCGUAGCGCCGUCUUGGUGGUGGUCGUCUCGCGGUCUUCUUUUGUGCUCUUGAAGCUUGGACUUGGCGUGAAGCAGGGCUUGUUGGGACUUGUGCAUUUGCGCUUGUGGAGCAUCUUCAUGAUGAUGAUGUCGUUGUCGUGCUUGAGCUCGUAGUAGAUGUCGUUCGUCGUCGUCGUGCACAUGAUGCUUGGAGGUGACUUGCCCUUCAUGACGAUGUUGAUCACGAACGUGAUGGUGGUCGCCAUGUAGAUGUGGACGAGGACGAUUUGCACUUGCAUCUUUUUCGCGCUCCGAUGACUUGUGGCUUGAAUGUUGCCGUCUUGAAGAUGACGAAGGGGAAGAAGACUUGAUCAAGGCUCUAAUCUCCUCCAUCCUUGCAUCUUGCUCCUCUUUAUGUGCGGAAAGCUUCUUGUCGAUGUAGUCCCUUUUCCUUGCUUCGGAGUGGAAAAUGUCGAUGGAGAUGUUCUCGAUGCGCUCUUGCAAUCUUGAUUGUGCGCCUUUCAUUUGUCGUUGGAGAUCGAUGAUAGACGCUUUGGAGAUGUAGUUGUUCACGCCGUCGUUGUUGUCGUAGACCAGAGAGGAAAUGCCUUGCCUAUCCAUCACAAGACUCGAGCAAAUAUGAGUGGGAGAAAGAGAAGAACUUAUACCAAUGUACCUUGACCGAUGUUGAUAAUGAAUCAAGUUCACUCAAAUGCGGACAAUGAAAUAGCACUAUUGGUACCAAUUCUUGUCGGUUCUCACACCUACACAAGUAAAGAUUAUAGUGGAGCUUGGUGAGGAUAGUGGCACAAAAAUUUAAUGCAAAAUGUUAGCAAGAGUCAAUAAUGUUGAAAGAGAUUCACAAAUUCGCAAGUGAAACAAAUGGACCAAUAGCAAAGAAUGGCACACGGAAACACACACACGGAUAGAUAAAUGGGGUCGUGCAACCAAGGGAUGAGCACAAAAUGUGGAAUCCACGGAAAACGCUCGUGUUGCACAACUCAAGAGAGACGCUAGCACGAUUGCUCAAUAGGCGGAUACGACACUUGUGCACAACCUAUAAGAUGCAAAAUGGAUAAACUUUCUAUCCCAAGUAUGCUAUGUAUGUAUGGUUCCCGGUGUUUCUCUCAAGAUGAUCCAAGAUGAUCGGAUAUGACAAUCUUAUAUGCAAUGUGGUAUGAUGCUAUGGCACUUGCUUACAAGCUUCUUUGCUCUCUCUUUUCCUUUUGCUUAAAAGCUUUAUUCUCUUUUUUUUCUAUGGCCACUUUUGCACAAUGCACAAACCAAGAUAGCAAUUGUGUAUAUGUGGGAACAAACUUGAGGCACAAUGGAUGAUAUGAUACCAAGAUGAUAUGGUAUGUAUGCAAUGGAUGGUGUAGACCAUUAAUGUGCACAAGUCACAUUGCCGGCAAUACUCAAAUGGCUAGUCUCGAUAGGCAAGUAACGCAAAAUGGGCUAGGGUUAACAAUGCAAUUGCAAGGGUAAUAUACAAUGGAGGGAUACCACGAUACCAAGAUGAUAUUGAGGUUACCGUCCGGCGAUGAUGAGUAGCGGCGUUCUUGAUGUAGAUACCAAGAUGAUGGAGACUCGUCCCUAAGUAGCCGAAACACCUUAGGAAACGGAAAACCGCGAACUCAAAAUCUCACACGUCAAAUGUCAAAAUGGUGGUAGCGGAAAGCGGCGGUGGUUUGCACUUGGCAAUGCGGAAGUGGGAUGAUGGGCUAUACACGGUGUAAGAGUUGGAAGCACACGGUCCCUAAGUAGCCGAAACACCUUAUGAGACACAAGCCACAACUCGAAAAAAACUCAAACAACAAUUGGGUUAAGUUGUGUUGUCGGAAGUGUAUAGUGGUCAAGCCUAUGCGGAAGUGGUGGUGGUGGUUGACGAGGAAGCAAUUGUCCCUAAGUAGCCGAAACACCUUAGGAGACUCGAAUCACUGCUCAAGCAACCACUAAUGCUAUGGGGAUCAAAAUUGGUUAGGUUGCGGAAGUCGGUGGUGGUGUAGCGGAUGAUGUGGUGAAAGCCCUAGGCAAAGAUGCCAAAUUUCCAAAAAUUUGAUGGAGUCAAAUGAUGUUGGUGGUAUUUUUGUGGGAUGGGGGAUGUCAAGAGCUUCAAAACGAGCUAAAGAACGUCAAAAUCGGAGUUCGGAUGAAUUAGUUACGGAUGAAACAAGAAUCAGCCGAAGUUGAUAUGUACAGGUAGCGGACGUCCGGAAAUGGACGGAUGUCCGGUGGCCGGACGUCCGGUGAGCUCGGAAAUCCGCUAAUUACAGCUCGGGUUAGGGGUUCCGGUCGUCCGGUAAGGUCGGACGUCCGGUCGUUCCUGAGGCUCCGGACGUCCGGUAAAGUGACGGUCAUCCGGUGGUUCUGGGUCAACGCGAGAUGCGAGUUCGGGGGCGCGAUUUUGGGCGGAAAAUGGAGAUUUUGGGGUCAAAAUUUGCGGGAUUUCGUGGAUGGAAGAUGGGGAAACUUGGGGAGAUGCUAGAUCCACUUGAAACCAAGCAAAUCCACGGAUCAAAAUCAACAAAACAUCAUCAAACCAACAAAUCACAGAAAAAUUUGGGGCUAUUUUUGGUGGGAAUUUUCGGAUUUAGGCAAGAACACACAAAAUCAAGCUAGAAAAAGAGGGGUAGGGGCUCCAAAAACGUGAUCAACGUGGCUCAUGAUACCAAGAUGAUGUAGGGUGGAACCCUAUAGCGUCGAUCUUUCACGUUUGGAGUGGAUCCUACGGGGAAUCAUGAAGAACACGCGGAAGCACAAAGGGAAACACGGGGGAAAACGAGAGAGAAUCACUCAACCAACAAGGAAUCGAUCACACAAGUGCUAGAUCACCACACACAUAAGAGAUACACGAGAUCCAAAGUCAACAAAGGUAAGGAUACAAAGGAACCAUUCUUCUCCAAGAGGAGGCCUUGAUGUUCUUCCCUAGAAGGGGUCUUGAAUCCGCUUGGGGGAUCUUCUCCGAAGAGGUCGUGAUCUCCGAGGAGAAGUAUCCAAGUGGAUGAGCAAAGGCUCUCACACAAAUAUGAGCUAAUCCAAUGCUAACCCUAACUAGGAGGAGGGGGUGUCCUAUUUAUAGUCUUAGUGCAAAAGGGGGCGAAGUGGAGGGGUACAUGGGCUUCGGCCCGAAACUGUGCGCAGACAGGU
rnacentral:lncRNA from 1 species